UUUGACCUCAAAUCAGGUAGGACUACCCGCUGAACUUAAGCAUAUCAAUAAGCGGAGGAAAAGAAACCAACAGGGAUUGCCUCAGUAGCGGCGAGUGAAGCGGCAAAAGCUCAAAUUUGAAAUCUGGCGUCUUUGGCGUCCGAGUUGUAAUUUGAAGAAGGUAUCUUUGGGCCCGGCUCUUGUCUAUGUUCCUUGGAACAGGACGUCACAGAGGGUGAGAAUCCCGUGCGAUGAGAUGACCCGGGUCUGUGUAAAGUUCCUUCGACGAGUCGAGUUGUUUGGGGAAU
rnacentral:rRNA from 2 species